rnacentral:rRNA from 1 species
AGUCGAACGGCAGCACGGACUUCGGUCUGGUGGCGAGUGGCGAACGGGUGAGUAAUAUAUCGGAACGUACCCUAGAGUGGGGGAUAACGCAUCGAAAGGUGUGCUAAUACCGCAUACGUCCUGAGGGAGAAAGUGGGGGAUCGCAAGACCUCACGUUAUUGGAGUGGCCUACGCCUGAUUAGCUAGUUGGUGAGGUAAAGGCUCACCAAGGCGACGAUCAGUAGCUGGUCUGAGAGGACGACCAGCCACACUGGAACUGAGACACGGUCCAGACUCCUACGGGAGGCAGCAGUGGGGAAUUUUGGACAAUGGGCGCAAGCCUGAUCCAGCCAUUCCGCGUGAGUGAAGAAGGCCUUCGGGUUGUAAAGCUCUUUCGCAAGGGAAGAAAACUUAGUCUCUAACAUAGACUGAGGUUGACGGUACCUUGAUAAGAAGCACCGGCUAACUACGUGCCAGCAGCCGCGGUAAUACGUAGGGUGCGAGCGUUAAUCGGAAUUACUGGGCGUAAAGCGUGCGCAGGCGGUUUUGUAAGUCAGAUGUGAAAUCCCCGAGCUCAACUUGGGAACUGCGUUUGAAACUACAAGACUAGAAUAUGUCAGAGGGGGGUAGAAUUCCACGUGUAGCAGUGAAAUGCGUAGAGAUGUGGAGGAAUAUCAAAAGCGAAGGCGAUCUGCUGGGAUGAUACUGACGCUGAGGCACGAAAGCGUGGGGAGCAAACAGGAUUAGAUACCCUGGU